rnacentral:rRNA from 1 species
UACGUAUGGUGCAAGCGUUAUCCGGAUUUACUGGGUGUAAAGGGAGCGUAGACGGAGUGGCAAGUCUGAUGUGAAAACCCGGGGCUCAACCCCGGGAUUGCAUUGGAAACUGUCAAUCUGGAGUACCGGAGAGGUAAGCGGAAUUCCUAGUGUAGCGGUGAAAUGCGUAGAUAUUAGGAGGAACACCAGUGGCGAAGGCGGCUUACUGGACGGUAACUGACGUUGAGGCUCGAAAGCGUGGGGAGCAAACAGG